ensembl:ncRNA lncRNA:CR45236 long non-coding RNA:CR45236
ACUAGUUCGUUUGCUUUUUUAUGCUAUCCACGAGUGUGUUCUUUUCAACCGCAGAAUUGAAAUGUUUUAAUUGAAACUAAAUGUUGCCCCUGUGUAUUGCCUGCAAAUAAAACAAUAACUAGAACGAGUGCAAACAAGCCGGUUGAAAACAAUAACAAGAACGCGAACAUGAAUCCACCCGGAAAAGUGGGAAAACUGGGGAACCGGCAAUAAUAAUUACAUCGAAUGUAGUUCCCAGUCCCAUUCUCUAUUUGCGACUUUGUCCUGAAACUCCAUCACAAUGCAGAAUUUUCGCAUGGCAAGCGUUUAAAAAAGGCCAAAAGCUUAAGCCUCGUGCGGUCAACAAAAAGCCGGCCGCAAUGGGAAAAAUAAAUACGGGCUCAGGCUGUUGGUCGUGGAUAAAACAGGACCACGAGGACCUCCGCCAGUCCUUUGGGUACUCCUCUGACACUCUCCCAGGGACGCAGAUACACACGAACUGGGCACAUAAAAAUGCAUUAAAUAAAAUUUGUCAUAUAAAUCUUGCAAUUUAU